AGACCCGAAACCCGGUGAUCUAGCCAUGGGCAGGUUGAAGGUUGGGUAACACUAACUGGAGGACCGAACCGACUAAUGUUGAAAAAUUAGCGGAUGACCUGUGGCUGGGGGUGAAAGGCCAAUCAAACCGGGAGAUAGCUGGUUCUCCCCGAAAGCUAUUUAGGUAGCGCCUCGUGAAUUCAUCUCCGGGGGUAGAGCACUGUUUCGGCUAGGGGGCCAUCCCGGCUUACCAACCCGAUGCAAACUGCGAAUACCGGAGAAUGUUAUCACGGGAGACACACGGCGGGUGCUAACGUCCGUCGUGAAGAGGGAAACAACCCAGACCGCCAGCUAAGGUCCCAAAGUCAUGGUUAAGUGGGAAACGAUGUGGGAAGGCCCAGACAGCCAGGAUGUUGGCUUAGAAGCAGCCAUCAUUUAAAGAAAGCGUAAUAGCUCACUGGUCGAGUCGGCCUGCGCGGAAGAUGUAACGGGGCUAAACCAUGCACCGAAGCUGCGGCAGCGAACGUAUCACCCAAGACAACUUUACGGAGUUGACGAUUGACGGAGCGAAGCGACGUCAAAGCGUUCAUUAAAGUCGAGUUGGCUUAGGGAUACGUUCGUUGGGUAGGGGAGCGUUCUGUAAGCCUGUGAAGGUGUGUCGUGAGGCAU
rnacentral:rRNA from 2 species